rnacentral:rRNA from 1 species
UACGUAGGGGGCUAGCGUUGUCCGGAAUCAUUGGGCGUAAAGCGCGUGUAGGCGGCCCGGUAAGUCCGCUGUGAAAGUCGGGGGCUCAACCCUCGGAUGCCGAUCGAUACUGUCGGGCUAGAGUCCGGAAGAGGCGAGUGGAAUUCCUGGUGUAGCGGUGAAAUGCGCAGAUAUCAGGAGGAACACCAAUGGCGAAGGCAGCUCGCUGGGACGGUACUGACGCUGAGGCGCGAAAGCGUGGGGAGCAAACAGG